AUUAUAUUAUAAAUUAUCAUUAAAAUAUUAUAAAUUAGUGUUAGUGAGGGUUAUAUGUGAUUGAUUAUAUUAUAAAUUAUCAUUAAAAUAUUUAAUGUCAUACCAUUUUAGACCCAAGAAAAUGGACAUUAAUUUGCUCUACUGCGAGCUACCAGGAAAGGCAGGAGCAGGUAACGGGUAAGCUUGUGACACAGGUAAUUAGCAGCCCAUCUGUUUGUCAAAAUGUCUCAAAGAGCUUGGAUGGUGAAAAACCUAUGAAAUGAUAUCCUUCUUUGGUUGCAGAUAGUAAUAUUUUCGUGAGAUUCCCCAUGAUGGCUCGGGAUUUAAUUGGAAGCGCUGAGAAGCUUACCUACACAUUUAAGAAUAAUGCUAGAUAACUAGGCAAAAGCUGUCUAGUUUACCAAGAGACAACAUUCAUAGAUUGUACAGUACAACCAUCAGUGCGUUGUCUAGGUAAAACAGAUAGUUUUUGUUUACUUACUCAGCAUUACUCCACAAUUAAACGAGGCAGGACAGGUAACAUGUGUUUAUGCUUCCUUUUAUAUAUGCCAAUUGAUAUGUGGAAUGGAUUUAGAAACACCCAUUAAGGUCCGUGUAUUCCAAGCCAUAAGUCUUGGAAAAG
rnacentral:lncRNA from 1 species